rnacentral:rRNA from 1 species
CACAUGACUCUCGGCAACGGAUAUCUCGGCUCUCGCAUCGAUGAAGAACGUAGCGAAAUGCGAUACCUGGUGUGAAUUGCAGAAUCCCGCGAACCAUCGAGUCUUUGAACGCAAGUUGCGCCCGAGGCCUUCUGGCUGAGGGCACGUCUGCCUGGGCAUCACGC